rnacentral:tRNA from 1 species
GGCUCUAUAGUGUAAUGGUUAGCACGUCUGCUUUGCACGCAGAAGGUCUUGGGUUCAUGCCCCAGGUGGAGCCA